CUUUCACCUCCACCCCACACACAGUGAAGAGAGGAAGACCAGUGGAUAAUAUGUUUUUGGCAGUAAGGAUGCUGUCCAUUUAAAACCUGAAACACUUUUCAACUCUCUAACAGUUAACAAAUACAGAAGGAUGCAGCCUUACCCACACUAUAUAGUAUGAGGUGUUACUUUUUGUAUGCUCUUGUUUUUCAGAUGGAGGUUCUGACCCCUGCGCUGAGUUAGAGAUAAGGAGAACUCACUGAUGAUGAGACCCCCAGGCUUCCACAGAAGAACAAAGUCAAACAUGAGAGAGCAAGAGAGCAUGGAGUGAGGUAGAGAGAACUGCGAUGUAGAGUGCCUGGA